rnacentral:rRNA from 1 species
GAUGAACGCUGGCGGCGUGCUUAACACAUGCAAGUCGAACGAGAAGUGAAGACGGAAACCUUCGGGCGGAAGGCUUUAUUUCGAGUGGCGGACGGGUGAGUAACGCGUGGGUAACCUGCCUCAUACAGGGGGAUAACAGUUGGAAACGACUGUUAAUACCGCAUAAGACCACAGCACCGCAUGGUGCGGGGGUAAAAACUCCGGUGGUAUGAGAUGGACCCGCGUUCGAUUAGCCAGUUGGCGGGGUAACGGCCCACCAAAGCGACGAUCGAUAGCCGAUCUGAGAGGAGGACCGGCCACAUUGGGACUGGGACACGGCCCAAACCCCGACGGGGGGCAGCAGUGGGGAAAAUUGCAAAAUGGGGGAAACCCUGAUGCAGCGCCGCCGGGGGAGGGAAGAAGUAUUUCGGUAGGAAAAGCUCUAUCAGCAGGGAAGAAAAGGACGGUACCGGGGUAAGAAGCCCCGGCUAACUACGG